GGCCCGUGCAUCGGGUUGCCCAACCCCGGGCUGCGCGCACCGCCUCGCCCCUCCGCGCCAGGCCCGGGCAGGGGCCACUUCCGGCUAUGGCUGCACAUCUGAGCGCGCCGGGGCCUGGCGCGGGCGGGUGUAGACGGUCCCAGCCGCGCCGCCGCGCAGGCUCCCGCCAUGGCAAAAGGAAGGCCUGAAGGGUGGCCCGGGAGGCUGGGGAGGGCGGCCCGGGAGCCCAGAUCGCCGCGCAGGUGUGGGCGCAGCGCUCUGCGGAAGGAGCCCGGGAGGGUUGUUCUUUCUGGCCCAGCCCUGGGGUGAAGCCGGGGCCCCGCAGCUGCACCGCUGGGCCGCACCCGGGCCCCAGGCAGUUUCUGCAGCGAGCGGGUGGCCCCUGAAGGAGGUCACCCUUUUCUGAUCCUGGAUGGAAAAUGGAGGCCAGGCCCAGGGCAGGACUGGAGGUUCUGGAGGCCACCGGCCGGAUGUGGAAGGGAGGAAACGCUGCUGGCCGAGGACCGGGCAGGGGUGGCACCAGCAGAGAGGAUCAGUCUGGCUGGGCACCAGUGUCCCCACCGGGUCCCGCGCGAACCUCCUUUGUCUCAACUCCUGGCUUGGCCUCAGCUUCAACUGUCCUGGCUGCUGCACCAGCUUUUCACCUGUCACCAGAAUGGCGUGAGAUGCAGCUGUGACCGGUCUUAAGAGAUCCACCCCAUCUGAAGGUCCACCCAAAAGCCUCUCCAUUCAGCCAGGCCACCCCGCUGGGCAGGGCUCCUGUCCCCAACACCAGGACCAUGGUGACUAACACUUUCCCCCUGAGCUUGCCCUCUACCCGAGCCACAUCCCCAGCCCAGGCUGGUCUUGAACUUCCAAGCAGCUGGGAUUACAGCCCCGACACCCAGACUUCACCUAGUUCCUGGGGUCUUGAAGGUCCCUGCUACCACCCUGGGUGCUCCCUGAGGCCACUCCUGCCUGCGCUGGCUCGGCCCCGCCCAGGAAGGAUGAGGGACUGUCCGUCCCUACCCCCCACAGGUGGGCAGGCUAUAGGGUGGACAGGUGGCUUCAUGUAACUGGUAGAUAACAGGCCCAUGGCUCAGGCCACUGCCUGGGGGAGGCUUGUCGGUGGCUCUUCUGCCUCCAGUGGCUUCUUGUCCUGAUGUCACAUGCCCCUGGUGGCAAAGAAAUGAGCAGUGUCUGUCCCCAGACGGCAGGGACACUGCUUCUGUCUGGCAAGGAAGGGGUGUCUGAGCAGCCACCUGAACUGGGUCUCCUGCUGCUGUGUCCCCAGUUGCAGCCACAAUUCCAGAAGUGAACAUACACAGUUAAGAGCA